CCCUUAGAUGUUCUGGGCCGCACGCGUGCUACACUGAGUGGAUCAGCGGGUCAGGUUGCGCGAAAGCGUUUCCUAAUCUUUAAAUCCGCUCGUGAUGGGGAUUGACGGUUGCAAUUUUCUGUCAUGAACGAGGAAUACCUUGUAAGCGCGGGUCAUCAUCCCGCGCUGAAUACGUCCCUGCCCUUUGUACACACCGCCCGUCGCUCCUACCGAUUGAGUGGUCCGGUGAGGCUUUGGGAUCUGAGCGGAAAGAACGUUUCGCUGUUUCUGCUCGGAAAACUCAGUCGAACCUUAUCAUUUAGAGGAAGGAGAAGUCGUAACA
rnacentral:rRNA from 1 species